UAAGGAAUAUUGGUCAAUGGACGCAAGUCUGAACCAGCCAUGCCGCGUGGAGGAUGAAGGUCCUCUGGAUUGUAAACUUCUUUUAUCUGGGACGAAACACUUCUUUUCUAAGAGGCCUGACGGUACCAGAUGAAUAAGCACCGGCUAACUCCGUGCCAGCAGCCGCGGUAAUACGGAGGGUGCAAGCGUUAUCCGGAUUCACUGGGUUUAAAGGGUGCGUAGGCGGGCAGGUAAGUCAGUGGUGAAAUCUUCCGGCUUAACCGGAAAACUGCCGUUGAUACUAUUUGUCUUGAAUAUUGCGGAGGUAAGCGGAAUAUGUCAUGUAGCGGUGAAAUGCAGAGAUAUGACAUGGAACACCAAUUGCGAAGGCAGCUUACUACACAAUGAUUGACGCUGAUGCACGAAAGCGUGGGGAGCGAAC
rnacentral:rRNA from 1 species